rfam:Pisolithus microcarpus 441 unplaced genomic scaffold scaffold_130, whole genome shotgun sequence.
GGCUUUGUAGUGUAGUGGUCAUCACUCGGGAUUUUGAUUCGGUGGACUCUUUCCCGAAACCCAGGUUCGAACCCUGGCAAAGCCU